rnacentral:misc_RNA from 1 species
AGUUUAUAUGUCAUCUAUAGUAUAAGAAGAAAUUUCAGUAUAUGGAUUUCUUUGGUGCAAGAGGGUAGAGACGAAACUAUCAAUAUAUACUUAUAAAAUCAUGUUUUGUAUGAAAUAAGAAAAUGAUGAGGAAAUUGUAUAAUUAGUACUCUCCUAAUCCCAGCUUCAAGAGAGUUUUUUAAAAUAAAACUAUUGAUUUAUUCAUGGGAUUUUGUUAAGUCCUUUUAUCCAUUCUCUCCUAAUGGUCCAAAAUAGUAACAGUUUGAAAGCUGUUCUUCACAGUUGGAGUGAAUUUUAUCUUCAUUCUCACUGUCCGAAGGGUUUAUUGCUGCUAUUAUAU